UACAGAGGGGGCAAGCGUUGUUCGGAUUUAUUGGGCGUAAAGAGCUCGUAGGCGGUUCGGCAAGUCAGCUGUGAAAUCUCCACGCUCAACGUGGAGGGGUCAGCUGAUACUGCUGUGACUCGAGUCCGGUAGGGGAGUGUGGAAUUCCCGGUGUAGCGGUGAAAUGCGCAGAUAUCGGGAGGAACACCAGUAGCGAAGGCGGCACUCUGGGCUGGUACUGACGCUGAGGAGCGAAAGCGUGGGUAGCAAACAGG
rnacentral:rRNA from 1 species